rnacentral:misc_RNA from 1 species
GAUGAAGAACGUAGCGAAAUGCGAUAAGUAAUGUGAAUUGCAGAAUUCAGUGAAUCAUCGAAUCUUUGAACGCACAUUGCGCCCGCCAGUAUUCUGGCGGGCAUGCCUGUUCGAGCGUCAUUUCAACCAUCAAGCCCCCGGCUUGUGUUGGGGACCUGCGGCUGCCGCAGGCCCUGAAAACCAGUGGCGGGCUCGCUGUCACACCGAGCGUAGUAGAUUUUCAUCUCGCUCAGGGCGUGCUGCGGGUUCCGGCCGUAAGAAGCCUUAUUUACCCAAGGUUGACCUCGGAUCAGGUAGGAAGACCCGCUGAACUUAAGCAUAUCAAUAAGCGGAGGA